CCAAGUGACCAUCGCAGUUGCUACUUGUCUUUAGGCCACACAAAUCUUGUUUUCUGUGGCAUUAACCACAUUGUCUACCAUUGGAGUUACAUUUCUGGAAGCCAGGAAAAACCCCUUACCUGUCUGGGAGAAAUGUUUUACAGGACUCCUCAGCAAAACAAUUUCCCCUUAAUUAAGCAAUAUGAUGUAAAUUACAUGGUGAAUGAUUUAAUAAGGGAGGAGACGUGCCAACCAACAGCAACAAAAAUCUUUUAAGAAUAGUGGCAUGAUUCUCCGGGAAAGAACAGAAAAUAUGAAGUCACGAGCACAAGCUGCAAUUCACAAAAACCCCAAACCCAUUCAUUCUAUUCAUUAUUUUGGAAAUGGAAAGGUCCAAAAUCUCUUUUCCUGGACAGAAGGAUGUGCUCUCCUUUUCACCCAUCAGUAUGCUGACGACAGUGGGAGUUACAUCCUCAAAUGGAAGACUACAACACAUUGAAUUUGAUUGCUUUGGCCACUCUCACUCUUUGUUGCUGGCUCCUUGCCUAGCUUCUGGAAUACACAGCCCUUGCUUGUAUAAGUGCCAAGUUCACGGUCACAGACCAGUGGAACUCACCAGUAUCAUCCACACGAUGUGAAAAUCUGUAUCCUCUGCUAGGUGAAAGAUCACUUGGGGUUCUUUGCCCCCCUCCCUCAUAGUCCAGUGAAUCUUUGAAAUGGAUUCUUCUGAAUGCUCAAAGUAAAGCGCAUUCAAGCUGUGAGAAAGGAGACAUGGAAUCUGGUGGUGAAGGAAGUUCCAUGCUAGUUUCUUCCCCCGCUGGUGUUUGCAAAAAUAAAAACUGAUCUGUUUCCUGCAAUCU